rnacentral:rRNA from 1 species
AGCGGCGGAUGGGUGAGUAACACGUGGGGAACCUGGCCCUAAGUCUGGGAUACCAUUUAGAAACAGGUGCUAAUACCGGAUAAUAAAGCAGAUCGCAUGAUCAGCUUUUGAAAGGCGGCGUAAGCUGUCGCUAAGGGAUGGCCCCGCGGUGCAUUAGCUAGUUGGUAAGGUAACGGCUUACCAAGGCGACGAUGCAUAGCCGAGUUGAGAGACUGAUCGGCCACAUUGGGACUGAGACACGGCCCAAACUCCUACGGGAGGCAGCAGUAGGGAAUCUUCCACAAUGGACGCAAGUCUGAUGGAGCAACGCCGCGUGAGUGAAGAAGGUUUUCGGAUCGUAAAGCUCUGUUGUUGGUGAAGAAGGAUAGAGGUAGUAACUGGCCUUUAUUUGACGGUAAUCAACCAGAAAGUCACGGCUAACUACGUGCCAGCAGCCGCGGUAAUACGUAGGUGGCAAGCGUUGUCCGGAUUUAUUGGGCGUAAAGCGAGCGCAGGCGGAAAAAUAAGUCUAAUGUGAAAGCCCUCGGCUUAACCGAGGAACUGCAUCGGAAACUGUUUUUCUUGAGUGCAGAAGAGGAGAGUGGAACUCCAUGUGUAGCGGUGGAAUGCGUAGAUAUAUGGAAGAACACCAGUGGCGAAAGGCGGCUCUCUGGUCUGCAACUGACGCUGAGGCUCGAAAGCAUGGGUAGCGAACAGGAUUAGAUACCCUGGUAGUCCAUGCCGUAAACGAUGAGUGCUAAGUGU